GGUUCCGGGUCGGGUUGGAAUGUGGCGUGCGUGCGUUGGAGCGGAGAGCAGAGAGAGCGGGUGUCGAAGGAGGCCGCCGUCGACGGGGCUCGCGGACCCGGACCGGUGACCUCGAGGCAGAGGGGCUCGAAAAGAUAGACGUAGAGUGCUCAAAAAAGCUAGGCUUAGAGUCUCGUGUGCCCUCUCUCCGAGGCACGAGCAAAGGUCCUGCUGUCCCGUCCCCUCCCGCCACCCACGCUCCGUUUCUCCCCGCAACCAACGUAGACCGCUCUGCCCUCCCGCUCUACGACUCUAGAUCGAGGAGCGGCGCCCUGCGCGGCUGGAGCGGCGACGGCAGCUCAGGUUGCCACCCACCAACACCGAGAGGGAGCCUACCAGAAGACUGCUACGCGUCGGUAGCUCGCCGGGCCUGUACGUGGGACUGAUAGGCGGGCUCCACGCACGGAUCGCGGCUGGCGCCGCCGCCUGACAUCAGUCACUCUCUCCUCUACUCAUUCCCGCCGCUCCGCGGCAAACUGCGGAAGUUGGUGCAGCAGCGGUGGAUAUUCUUACAGCUCGUAUUGAUAGGUACCACCAUAUAUGUGUUCGUCGCCGAGACAGGCCGGGCCACACCGUAUACGCCAGCAGACACAACACACGAGAGCUGACACUACGCACACCGCCCGCACGCUUUACACGCGGCCGGCUGCACGCAAACACAAGCACACACACCGCGAUAUGAUCGUCUCCUUCGCCCGCCAACGGCCAUCUCCUCCAAGUCCUAAUCAUACCGUGCUAAUCCUAACAAGUGAAAUAAACAAACCAGACCUAAUCAUGUUGUUACGUAACUAUAAAUAAAAUACCACGUCCUUGAAGUUCUGUUGUUCCCAGUAGUCCGAGAUGUGUAAGUAGAAACUAAAAGAGGGGUUUAGACUUUAACAACCUGGGGAUUUAAAAUUAGGGGAACUCUUUCGGUCUCAUAAGUACCUUAUACCAGAUAACUACAACUGUUUAAACUAACAUCGACCCUGACCGUUUCAUUCACGUCACGAGUGGUAACGUGUAUAUAAGUCCCGUUUUAGUUUGAAGUCAGUCUUCUUCUACUGGUCCGUCCUCGAUAUAGGGAGAACUUUCAAGUCCAUAGAAGGAGAACGUACAACAAUAACGAGAAAAAUAAACGUAACUUCGCACCAACAGUAUGAUAUAGGACCUCUCUUCACUAACGGACCAUGGAUCCUCCUGCCCACAAGUGAAGAAAUAACGAUUACCUAUUUUAGUAGGUAGUACUUAAAAGGUAGACUCACCGUUGCGAUCUGUUCUCCUUCCAGACCAUUGAGAGUAGGUUAGGGAAACCGGCAAAAACCUAAAGUAUGGGCAGCUACAAUGAUCCCAAUACCCAAACUCUCCGAUAAAGUAAACACCAGACUCUACCUUGUGGAACUCAUCCAGGGGCACAACCAAACCACCGGCCCUAACCCCAACCUACCUAACAACAGGGUUUAAACGAUUAAGAACGCAUCAUUAGACAUAUCGUGUUGACACUGCCACGGAAAGACAAACCAUUAUCUACCUUAAAAAACACGUAAAGAGAAACCAAUCUACUUAUCUAACUAACACUACUGAACAGCCGUUACGUACCGUUCCUGUUGUUUCGACGAGCUAGAUUAUUUAUUCUCAAUCUUCUGCAUCGACGACAGCGUAUUCUUGGGCAGAGAUGACUUCAUGGUCUACGCAUUCAUCUGGCUACGAACAGCAAAAUCAAUUAUCAGACAGUACAAAAUGAACAGACUAUGACUAAUAUGAUACGGUUCUAUCGUUACGAUAUUCAAUGAGUCGUAAAAACAAUUUUAAGCUUAGACAUCUUUGAUCUUUCCUACCACGAGACAAGAAUAGAUAGACAACAAAAGAGUAACAAAGAAAAUCUAGGACUGAAAAUAACUACCCUUCUCAAAUUCACACCCUAAAUACAAUGGUUUAGGUAAACUAGAUGACAAACCGAGACUAAGUUUACGAGAACUAAACCGAGAGGUGAACAAUAGACGUAAUACAUGGGGUACGAAAACUUUCCAUUCGAGCUGUUUGUUUAAUCACAUCUAGGGACAAAAGACCCAUUAACCAUAGUAAAACACUCAGUAAUCAGAAAGUCUCAAUCACACUACAUCUCAUGACCCAGAACAUGUAACAAUGAGAAAGUCUAAAACAUUGAAUGCCUUCUCUGCUCAUUCCGACCAUUAAUUCUCGAAGGACGUUUCUUGAUUGCAAAAUUCAACCUCUUCCUACGGAUGUGCGGAUUAAAUUAUUAUCGUUGUAAACGUUCCUACGUUUCCUAACAAAAGAUACAACAAGGGAAAGAACGAAAUGUGUUUAUUGUUAGACCACCAAGAGAACACCUCCCUUUUGAGAUGUACCAUGCAUUCCGCUCCAGACCCGUGUGUUCAACAGUAAGAUAAACAAACAUCUUCAAUAAGUUAACUUUUUGGAAAUAUGAACGCCAACCGUGUAGAGGAUAGUAGUCGAAUUCUUCCAUAAAUGAUGUCGAUCUUGAAUAAUAUUUAUAAAAGAAUCUCCAACUUUGCAGAUACGCGUAGUUGAAUUUUUCUAAGAUCUACGUAGAGAAAAUCAAAACUAAGACGGUCGAAAGUCCCUUUAUUUGUUAAAAAGAAUCUCCAACUAUGAAAUAAAAUGUACACACCAUUCUUGAAAUCUUGAUUGCUAAAUUCUAUCAUGGUUACGAGUCACUUGUACAUCGACAACAUAAUCAAAGAAGAAAAGCGGGUAGCUAAACGUCCAGUGAUUUGUCUUCGGACGACUCCAAAAGAGUUUGAUUCCAGUUCAUACGAGAAUCUGAGGAACUAUAAAUUAUAACCAACACUAUUCAAGCAUACACAAAAAUAUAUAGAACUUUAUUUUAUUCGUUGAACAAAAAAUUACUGAUUUUUACCACAUUCACCUUAAGUAGUAGAAUUUUUCAUAGAUCCUAUUAAGUAUAUACAAUCUAUAGAACUUAGGUCAUUCUCGAUUUUGAGUAAUACAAGAAACAACAUCGUAUAACCUAACCUGUCCCACGGCAAAACAAGCUUUCUAACCUAACUACCCCCAUAAACCAAAAUACUACCGGUCCAACUAGUUUUAGUGUACCAGAAAAAAUAUAACACUCUUCUUUUUCUGUGGCCUUGUCCGAUUUACAAACGUCUGUCCCCUUUGACAACGACAAUUCUACCAAAAAGUCCUAUUCGUGAUGUUCUUGACACUCGAAGUCUAGUUUGUGGAUGAACUGGUGGGUUUACAGAAUCCAGAUUUCGUACCAAAGAAAAGGUUUUGACUCUUCCUACUCGAGAAAUACUUGAACCAAGACCUCAUACAUGUAGUGUAACAGCGCGAUGUACGAAUUGAGAGCGGGCUCGGCAACGCGACAGCGUUGGAAACGUUUAUGAGACUAUUGAUCCACCACUAGUUAACGACUACCGAGAGACAUCACCGAACCACCACCCUUCCUUAUCCCGCCACCUCCGUUCCGUCUCUCACCCACGAAGGGCGUGAGCGGUCCGAUAGGCACUACGUAGAUUAUACAAUCGUCAUGGUGCUGUGCUGUAACCGUCACCGUAGAACCCCCUUCUUCCCCUACUGUUACUGAAUCUCUCCUUCUAGUGUUACUGUUGAACGUCGCAUUAUCCGACUGUUACGGUGGCACCUAUGAGAGGACGUGAUCGAUAAGUCACUGUUUUCUUCAGUCGUGUUGUUCUCUUCAGCCUCUUCGUUAGCUUCUUUCCUACUUUUGUUUUCUUUCUCUUUCAACGUAGACAAGGACUUUCCUCUUGUUACCUAAUGAAUUACUUGUAACCAAACAAAAACGAAGUCCUCUUGUGACCUACAAGUAAACUCAGACGGUACCGGUGGUCAUCGCUAUUGUUUCAACGACUAUACCUCUACGAGAGGACAGUACAUACGAUACUAGGUCUGACGGAAGGGACUGAAAACUUUGUUGAACACUACAUUACAUAGUAGAUGGUCCGAUAAUUUAACUCACGAUGAGGGACUGUCAGUGUACAUUACCUAAAGUAAAAGAAUACAAUAAAUACUUAUCGAGGA
rnacentral:rRNA from 1 species